GUUCAGGAUACUGAAGAUGAAGUGGAGAAUUACGAAAAAGGCAUCAAAAGAAGAUCUCGAAGACAGGCACGAAGCCUUCAUACAAGCGAAGAAUGGAAGAGAACAGUGGCGAUUGCCGACAGGAAUUCUCUCUGGAACGAUGCCAUUGUACCGUACGAAAUCUCUCCAAAGAUCAGUGAAAGUCUAAGAAGAACAAUACGCACGGCUAUAAGAAAAUGGGAAUCAGCCACGUGUUUGAGAUUUGUUCC
rnacentral:lncRNA from 1 species